GCUAACUGGGUGUACAACGCACAUUGGCUUUUCACGCCAAAAGAACAUACCAUGUAUUUAGCU
rnacentral:tRNA from 1 species